rnacentral:rRNA from 1 species
GACAGAGGGGGCAAGCGUUGCUCGGAAUUACUGGGCGUAAAGGGCGCGUAGGCGGGAUGGCAAGUCGGUCGUGAAAUCCUUCGGCUCAACCGAAGAACGUCGAUCGAUACUGCUGUUCUUGAGGGUUGCAGAGGAGACUGGAAUUCCCGGUGUAGCGGUGAAAUGCGUAGAUAUCGAGAGGAACACCAGUGGCGAAGGCGAGUCUCUGGACGACUCCUGACACUGAGGCACGAAAGCUGGGGGAGCAAACAGG